UGGGGAAUAUUGGACAAUGGGGGGAACCCUGAUCCAGCCAUGCCGCGUGUGUGAAGAAGGCCUUAUGGUUGUAAAGCACUUUAAGCGAGGAGGAGGGUACUGGUAUUAAUACUACCAGCUACUGGACGUUACUCGCAGAAUAAGCACCGGCUAACUCUGUGCCAGCAGCCGCGGUAAUACAGAGGGUGCGAGCGUUAAUCGGAUUUACUGGGCGUAAAGCGUGCGUAGGCGGCUAAUUGAGUCGGAUGUGAAAUCCCCGAGCUUAACUUGGGAAUUGCAUUCGAUACUGGUUAGCUAGAGUGUGGGGAGCAAACAGG
rnacentral:rRNA from 1 species